rnacentral:rRNA from 1 species
UACGUAGGCAGCAAGCGUUGUUCGGAGUUACUGGGCGUAAAGGGUGCGUAGGCGGUCUGAUAAGUCAUCUGUGAAAUCUAUGGGCUCAACCCAUAGUCUGCAGGCGAAACUGUCGGGCUUGAGUAUGGGAGAGGUGAGUGGAAUUUCCGGUGUAGCGGUGAAAUGCGUAGAUAUCGGAAGGAACACCUGUGGCGAAAGCGGCUCACUGGACCAUUACUGACGCUGAUGCACGAAAGCUAGGGGAGCAAACAGG